rnacentral:tRNA from 1 species
GGCCCAGUGGCGAAGUUGGUUAUCGCGCCGCCCUGUCACGGCGGAGAUCGACGGUUCGAGCCCGUUCUGGGUCG